UCCUUCUUAGCUCAGUUGGUAGAGCGCGUCACUAGUAUUCACAGAAGAAAUAAUGACGAGGUCAGUCGUUCAAGUCGGCUAGAAGGAA